GAGAGUAGGGGUCCCCCAGGGCCCGACCUCCCACCCCUUGCUGUUGCAAUCUUGUUGCUUUGGCGUGGCCUGCAGUUGCAAUCCUGCGACUGCAACCGGACCCCCAGGCCCGGGCAGCGCCCGCCAGGGACACACACCAAAACCCCAAAGCAACGCUUGUGGUCUGAUGUCAUUUACAAUAAAACA
rnacentral:misc_RNA from 1 species